rnacentral:rRNA from 1 species
ACGCUGGCGGCGUGCCUAACACAUGCAAGUCGAACGGAGUAAAACGCUGAAUUGAUGUAAGCUUGCUUAUGGAUUUUCUUGUUUACUUAGUGGCGGACGGGUGAGUAACGCGUGAAUAACCUGCCUUAUACUGGGGGACAACAGUUGGAAACGACUGCUAAUACCGCAUAAGCGCACAGUUCUGCAUGGAACAGUGUGAAAAACUCCGGUGGUAUAAGAUGGAUUCGCGUCUGAUUAGCUAGUUGGUGAGGUAAUGGCUCACCAAGGCGACGAUCAGUAGCCGGCCUGAGAGGGUGAACGGCCACAUUGGGACUGAGACACGGCCCAGACUCCUACGGGAGGCAGCAGUAGGGAAUAUUGCACAAUGGAGGAAACUCUGAUGCAGCCAUGCCGCGUGUGUGAAGAAGGCCUUCGGGUUGUAAAGCACUUUCGGAGGGGAGGAAAAGAUGACGUUACCCUCAGAAGAAGCACCGGCUAACUCCGUG